GAUGAACGCUGGCGGCGUGCCUAAUACAUGCAAGUCGAGCGAACAGACGAGGAGCUUGCUCCUCUGACGUUAGCGGCGGACGGGUGAGUAACACGUGGAUAACCUACCUAUAAGACUGGGAUAACUUCGGGAAACCGGAGCUAAUACCGGAUAAUAUAUUGAACCGCAUGGUUCAAUAGUGAAAGACGGUUUUGCUGUCACUUAUAGAUGGAUCCGCGCUGCAUUAGCUAGUUGGUAAGGUAACGGCUUACCAAGGCAACGAUGCGUAGCCGACCUGAGAGGGUGAGCGGCCACACUGGAACUGAGACACGGUCCAGACUCUUACGGGAGGCAGCAGUAGGGAAUCUUCCGCAAUGGGCGAAAGCGUGACGGAGCACCGCCGCGUGAGUGUAGAAGGUCUUCGGAUCGUAAAACUCUGUUAUUAGGGAAGAACAAAUGUGUAAGUAACUAUGCACGUCUUGACGGUACCUAAUCAGAAAGCCAUGGCUAACUACGUG
rnacentral:rRNA from 1 species